rnacentral:rRNA from 1 species
UACGAAGGGGGCUAGCGUUGUUCGGAAUCACUGGGCGUAAAGCGCACGUAGGCGGAUCUUUAAGUCAGAGGUGAAAUCCCAAGGCUCAACCUUGGAACUGCCUUUGAUACUGGGGAUCUUGAGUCCGGGAGAGGUGAGUGGAACUGCGAGUGUAGAGGUGAAAUUCGUAGAUAUUCGCAAGAACACCAGUGGCGAAGGCGGCUCACUGGCCCGGAACUGACGCUGAGGUGCGAAAGCGUGGGGAGCAAAC